UGUAGCCAGCAACGCAACGCAAAAAAGGGAUGCCAGCUCUUGAAUUCCCUGCCAUUUAUACACCCGCAAAUUAGAGGACACGGUCGGACACGAGAGGAAGCAGACGCAGAUGGUGGAAUAGUGAGAAAUCCGUCGCGUUCCCUCUGACGCGUUUGCGGGUCAUUCUUCUCAGCUGACGCGGCGAAACGGGACCGACUGUUUUACGCGCAAGAUCGGGCCGAAUUUUGCGCACAUUUCACCGUCAGGAAAUGAGUAUAGAAAUCCCCGAGGGCUUGACGGAGCUUCUGCAGAGCUUUACCGUGGAGGUCCUCAGGAACCAGCCGGGGGACCUGCUGGAGUUCGCCCUGCAGUACUUCACGCGUCUCAAGGAGAACGAGACCCGCGGCGGCGCGUUCGGCAAUGCGCUUAAUUCAGCCGCGCGAGCGGGGAAAGCCGUCAACUUCAUCGAGGAGGCCAUGCAGAUCGACUCCGAAAACGGAGAGGAAGAGGAUGAUGAUGAAGAAUUCAUAGCUCCAGUUUUCAACAGAUUUGUCCGGAGAGCUUCUGUUUGUGCGGAGGCGUACAACCCUGAUGAGGAUGAAGAGGAGAGAGAACCCAGGGUCACUCACCCUAAAACAGACGAGCAGAGACAGAGACUACAGGAAGCCUGCAAAGACAUCCUACUGUUCAAAAACCUGGACCAGGAGCAGAUGUCUGAAGUCCUGGAUGGCAUGUUUGAGAAGGUAGUGGUGACCGGAGAGCACAUCAUCGAUCAAGACGACGAUGGCGACAACUUCUACGUCAUUGAGAGGGGUACGUUUGACAUCAUGUUGAAAGCGGACGGCACCACGCGGACCGUGGGCUCUUAUGACAACCGUGGGAGUUUUGGAGAGCUGGCCCUCAUGUACAACACGCCGAGGGCCGCCACCAUCAUCGCUACCUCAUCUGGAGCCCUGUGGUGCCUCGAUCGGUUGACAUUCAGAAGGAUCAUCGUAAAGAACAACGCGAAGAAAAGAAAAAUGUACGAGGCUUUCAUCGGGACUCUUCCACUGCUCACGUCACUGGAGGUUUCAGAGAGAAUGAAGGUUGUUGAUGUGUUGUCGACCAAAGUGUACAACAGUGGGGAACAGAUCAUUGCUCAGGGUGAUUUGGCAGAUUCUUUCUACAUUGUAGAGUCAGGACACGUUAGGAUCACUAUGAAGAGGAGCAAGUCAAAAAACAAUACUGAAGAUGAGGAGGUGGAAAUCGCCACAUGCUCUAGAGGCCAGUAUUUUGGAGAGCUGGCACUCGUCACUAACAAGCCACGGGCAGCAUCUGCAUAUGCCAUGGACAGCGUCAAAUGCUUAGUAAUGGACGUGCAGGCGUUUGAGAGGUUAUUAGGCCCCUGCAUGGACAUCAUGAAACGAAACAUAGCGAAUUACGAGGAGCAGCUGAUCACGCUCUUCAGGAGUCACAUCGCAAUAGAGGAGCCGGAUGCAUGAAAUCAGUUCAUCAAUAAACAUCGCAAACUUAAAAUGCAACAUGAAACGAUGAGAACAUGAUGCUCAAAAAGUAACCAAGGACAUUUGCUUUCUCUGAAGAAGUCUGAAUGAUUCCUCUCUUUGUCUGCGUAUAUUUUUGAGUUACGUUUAUUUUGUUUCUGGUAGCUUUUGGCUCCUUCAAAACACUUGCUUUAUUCUUCAUUCCCGCAGUAUUUGGACACUGUUUUUCUCUAUCUCUUGAUGUAUGAGAAGUUCGUCCUUGUUAAUUGGAUCUUUUGCUUCACAGCAAGUCAUGCAUUACUAGUAGUGUGCAUUUCUUCCUAAAACAUUACUGAAGAUUCAUUACUGUCUACCUCUAAUAUGAACAGCUUAGCCAUCAUCACCUCUUCCCAUGUAGAUUCCCACAGGUUUGUCUCAUGGUAAACUAACCUGUAGUGAAUCCCUAAACCAUAUCUGCGUGUCAGUGUAACUUUACACCAUUUCUAAUGACUUUUAAUUGCCAAUCAGUGCUCAUUUCUGUGUGAAUUUCUGCCACCUAAAAGUCGCUAAUGCUUUUUAUGUCCUGAAAAAUGGAUCAAAGGUCUACAGUCUCUUGGUGCAAGAGAGCCUAGUAUUAUACUGUCAGUUAUAUUUGACUUUCCAUUCAAAUAAAGAACAAUUUU